rnacentral:rRNA from 1 species
CCUACGGGAGGCAGCAGUGGGGAAUAUUGCGCAAUGGGCGAAAGCCUGACGCAGCGACGCCGCGUGAGGGAUGACGGCCUUCGGGUUGUAAACCUCUUUCAGCUCUGACGAAGCGCAAGUGACGGUAGGAGCAGAAGAAGCACCGGCCAACUACGUGCCAGCAGCCGCGGUAAUACGUAGGGUGCAAGCGUUGUCCGGAAUUAUUGGGCGUAAAGAGCUCGUAGGCGGUCUGUCGCGUCGAAUGUGAAAAUCCGGGGCUCAACCCCGGACCUGCAUUCGAUACGGGUAGACUAGAGUUCGGUAGGGGAGUCUGGAAUUCCUGGUGUAGCGGUGAAAUGCGCAGAUAUCAGGAGGAACACCGGUGGCGAAGGCGGGACUCUGGGCCGAUACUGACGCUGAGGAGCGAAAGCGUGGGGAGCAAACAGGAUUAGAUACCCUGGUAGUCCACGCCGUAAACGUUGGGCGCUAGGUGUGGGGGUCCUUCCACGACCUCCGUGCCGCAGCUACGCAUAGCGCCCGCCGUCGGGAGGUACGGCCGCGACGGACGUAAACUACAAAGGAAGUUAGACGGCGUGAGACGNGCCGAACGGACGACGACGAGGGAGGUAGG